GCACCCGCACAAGCGGUGGAGCAUGCUGUUUAAUUCGAAGAUACGCGAAGAACCUUACCUAGACUUGACAUCCCCGGCAAUGCUAUAGAAAUAUAGUGGAGGUUACCCGGGUGACAGGUGGUGCAUGGUUGUCGUCAGCUCGUGUCGUGAGAUGUUCGGUUAAGUCCGAUAACGAGCGCAACCCUUAUUACUAGUUACUAACAUUUAGUUGAGGACUCUAGUGAGACUGCCGGUGAUAAACCGGAGGAAGGUGGGGAUGAGGUCAAAUCAUCAUGCCCCUUACGUCUAGGGCUACAGGCGUGCUACAAUGGCUGGUACAAAGAGACGCAAUACCGCGAGGUGGAGCUAAUCUCCAAAACCAGUCCCAGUUCGGAUUGGAGUCUGCAACUCGACUCCAUGAAGUUGGAAUCGCUAGUAAUCCUGAAUCAGAAUGUCAGGGUGAAUACGUUCCCGGGUGUU
rnacentral:rRNA from 1 species